UACGUAGGGUGCAAGCGUUAAUCGGAAUUACUGGGCGUAAAGCGUGCGCAGGCGGUUUUGUAAGCCAGAUGUGAAAUCCCCGGGCUCAACCUGGGAAUGGCAUUUGGGACUGCAAGGCUGGAGUACGGCAGAGGAGACUGGAAUUCCUGGUGUAGCAGUGAAAUGCGUAGAUAUCAGGAGGAAUACCGAUGGCGAAGGCAGGUCUCUGGGCUGAUACUGACGCUCAUGCACGAGAGCGUGGGGAGCAAACAGG
rnacentral:rRNA from 1 species